ACUGCACUUUAUUUUGAUGUUUUGGCAUUUUAGCUGGUGUGUCAGUGACUUCCAGUAACACCGGUGUCCCAGACAUCUCAGGAUCUGUGUACAGUAAGACCCAGCAGUCUUUCGAGAAGCAGGGCUUUCACGCUGGAACUCCGGCAGCCUCCUUCAACCUGCCGUCAGCGCUGGGCAGUGCGGGUCCAGUGAAUCCUGCCACCGCAGCCGGCUACCCGCCGCCGUUCAUGCACAUCCUGGCACCGCACCAGCAGCAGAUGCACUCUCAGAUCCUGCACCUCCAACAGGACGGCCAGAGCGGAACAGGCCAGCGUACUCAAACCAGCAGCAUCCAGCAGAAAUCGCAGGGGAAUAAGUCUGCUUACAACAGCUCGGGCUACUGGGGUCCCAACUGAGCAGAGCAAGGGGAGGGGUGAGAGGGGGGGUGGUGGUGAUUGUGGGAAGUGAGGU